GACGAACGCUGGCGGCGUGCUUAACACAUGCAAGUCGAACGGAAAGGCCCUGCUUUUGUGGGUGCUCGAGUGGCGAACGGGUGAGUAACACGUGAGUAACCUGCCCUUGACUUUGGGAUAACUUCAGGAAACUGGGGCUAAUACCGGAUAGGAGCUCCUGCUGCAUGGUGGGGGUUGGAAAGUUUCGGCGGUUGGGGAUGGACUCGCGGCUUAUCAGCUUGUUGGUGGGGUAGUGGCUUACCAAGGCUUUGACGGGUAGCCGGCCUGAGAGGGUGACCGGCCACAUGGGGACUGAGAUACGGCCCAGACUCCUACGGGAGGCAGCAGUGGGGAAUAUUGCACAAUGGGCGGAAGCCUGAUGCAGCAACGCCGCGUGCGGGAUGACGGCCUUCGGGUUGUAAACCGCUUUCGCCUGUGACGAAGCGUGAGUGACGGUAAUGGGUAAAGAAGCACCGGCUAACUACGUG
rnacentral:rRNA from 1 species